rnacentral:rRNA from 1 species
AGAGUUUUAUCCUGGCUCAGGACGAACGCUGGCGGCGUGCCUAAUACAUGCAAGUCGAGCGAGCUUGCCUAGAUGAUUUUAGUGCUUGCACUAAAUGAAACUAGAUACAAGCGAGCGGCGGACGGGUGAGUAACACGUGGGUAACCUGCCCAAGAGACUGGGAUAACACCUGGAAACAGAUGCUAAUACCGGAUAACAACACUAGACGCAUGUCUAGAGUUUGAAAGAUGGUUCUGCUAUCACUCUUGGAUGGACCUGCGGUGCAUUAGCUAGUUGGUAAGGUAACGGCUUACCAAGGCGAUGAUGCAUAGCCGAGUUGAGAGACUGAUCGGCCACAAUGGAACUGAGACACGGCCCAAACUCCUACGGGAGGCAGCAGUAGGGAAUCUUCCACAAUGGACGAAAGUCUGAUGGAGCAACGCCGCGUGAGUGAAGAAGGGUUUCGGCUCGUAAAGCUCUGUUGGUAGUGAAGAAAGAUAGAGGUAGUAACUGGCCUUUAUUUGACGGUAAUUACUUAGAAAGUCACGGCUAACUACGAGCCAGCAGCCGCGGUAAUACGUAGGUGGCAAGCGUUGUCCGGAUUUAUUGGGCGUAAAGCGAGUGCAGGCGGUUCAAUAAGUCUGAUGUGAAAGCCUUCGGCUCAACCGGAGAAUUGCAUCAGAAACUGUUGAACUUGAGUGCAGAAGAGGAGAGUGGAACUCCAUGUGUAGCGGUGGAAUGCGUAGAUAUAUGGAAGAACACCAGUGGCGAAGGCGGCUCUCUGGUCUGCAACUGACGCUGAGGCUCGAAAGCAUGGGUAGCGAACAGGAUUAGAUACCCUGGUAGUCCAUGCCGUAAACGAUGAG